rnacentral:rRNA from 2 species
UACAACUUUCAGCAACGGAUCUCUUGGCUCUCGCAUCGAUGAAGAACGCAGCGAAUUGCGAUAUGUAAUGUGAAUUGCAGAUUUUCAGUGAAUCAUCGAAUCUUUGAACGCACCUUGCGCUCCUUGGUAUUCCGAGGAGCAUGCCUGUUUGAGUGUC